rnacentral:rRNA from 1 species
AUUGAACGCUGGCGGCAUGCUUUACACAUGCAAGUCGAACGGGCUGGGGGCAACUCCGGUCAGUGGCGAACGGGUGAGUAAUACAUCGGAACGUACCCCGUUGUGGGGGAUAACCCACCGAAAGGUGGGCUAAUACCGCAUACGCCCCAAGGGGGAAAGCGGGGGACCGCAAGGCCUCGCGCGAUGGGAGCGGCCGAUGUCGGAUUAGCUAGUAGGUUGGGUAAAGGCUGACCUAGGCGACGAUCCGUAGCUGGUCUGAGAGGAUGAUCAGCCACACUGGGACUGAGACACGGACCAGACUCCUACGGGAGGGAGCAGUGGGGAAUUUUGGACAAUGGGGGCAACCCUGAUCCAGCCAUGCCGCGUGAGUGAAGAAGGCCUUCGGGUUGUAAAGCUCUUUCGGCCGGAACGAAAUCGCACGGGCCAAUACCCUGUGUGGAUGACGGUACCGGAAGAAGAAGCACCGGCUAACUACGUGCCAGCCGCCGCAGUAACAC